AAAAAUUUUUGCACUGUCACGGUUUUCGCCAUUUUUCAACAAUUUCUGAUAAAAAAGCGUAGCAUAUUGAAAUGCCAAAGUUGUAGGGAACUUUUCUCUUUUAGUGUUGGGUUCUCCGGUGGCCCAAAAUUCGUAAAGCAAAAUCUAAUUUAAGGUUGGUUUAGAUGCCAUAUUUGAGACGCCAUGUUGAAUUUUUCAAAAGGCCUCACGGCUUUUUCCUAAAAAAAAAUCUCAAUAACUUUAAAAAUACUGCAACUAUUUUUGACAUCGGGGGACAAAACUAAAUCAAGUGCCAUUAAAAUGUAUAAAAUUUCCCACUGACUUAUAGGCAAAAUAUUGAUUU